CAGUAGCCGCGGUAAUACGUAGGGUGCAAGCGUUAAUCGGAAUUACUGGGCGUAAAGCGUGCGCAGGCGGUUUUGUAAGACAGAGGUGAAAUCCCCGGGCUCAACCUGGGAACUGCCUUUGUGACUGCAAGGCUAGAGUACGGCAGAGGGGGAUGGAAUUCCGCGUGUAGCAGUGAAAUGCGUAGAUAUGCGGAGGAACACCGAUGGCGAAGGCAAUCCCCUGGGCCUGUACUGACGCUCAUGCACGAAAGCGUGGGGAGCAAACAGGAUUAGAUACCCGGGUAGUCCCUGUCUCUUAUAC
rnacentral:rRNA from 1 species